GCACGUAGUUAGCCGGUGCUUAUUCUUCAGGUACCGUCAUCACCCCAGGGCUAUUAGCCCAGGAGUAUUUCUUCCCUGACAAAAGCGGUUUACAACCCGAAGGCCUUCUUCCCGCACGCGGCGUCGCUCCAUCAGGGUUUCCCCCAUUGUGAAAAAUUCUCGA
rnacentral:rRNA from 1 species